GUCAGAAUGGCCAAGCGGUCUAAGGCGCUGCGUUCAGGUCGCAGUCUCCAUUGGAGGCGUGGGUUCAAAUCCCACUUCUGACA
rnacentral:tRNA from 1 species